rnacentral:rRNA from 1 species
CCUACGGGUGGCAGCAGUGAGGAAUAUUGGUCCAUGGACGGAAGUCUGAACCAGCCAUGCCGCGUGCAGGAAGACGGCUCUAUGAGUUGUAAACUGCUUUUGUACAAGGGUAAACCUGAAUACGUGUAUGCAGCUGAGAGUACUGUACGAAUAAGGACCGGCUAAUUCCGUGCCAGCAGCCGCGGUAAUACGGGAGUUCCGGGCGUUAUCCGGAUUUAUUGGGUGGAAAGGGCGCGUAGGCGGUUCGUUAAGCGUGCCGUGAAAUUUUGGGGCUCAACCAUGAGAGUGCGGCGGGAACUGGAGACCUUGAGGGCGCGGAAGGCAGGCGGAAUUCGUGGUGUAGCGGUGAAAUGCGUAGAUAUCACGAAGAACACCGAUUGCGAAGGCAGCCUGCCGGAGCGUUACUGACGCUGAAGCUCGAAAGCGCGGGUAUCGAACAGGAUUAGAUACCCCAGUAGUC